rnacentral:lncRNA from 1 species
AUGGAGCUGUCGGGCAGGCGAGGGGGAAGGCACCUAGAAAAAACCUCCCUGGCCCGCGAGCUGGGAACAGCGCUCCCAGGAUGCAGUUUGUGUCAACAUGGCCACAAUCUCGGCAGCUGGGCAUCCAGGGUCUGGGGCUGGACAGCGGGAGCUGGAGCUGGGCGCAGGCUCUGCCCCAGGAGACCGGCGCUGCGCGGGGAAAUGGUCGAGGGAAUGCCGCCCCAUGCAGCUACUCCUUUAAGGAAAGUAAAGGAAGCAUUUAUUACUGGCUUGGUGAACAACAUAGGCAGCAUGCUGACCCAGUUCUACGGAUUCACCCUAUUAAGGAAGAAAUGGAGAUUCCUGAUUUGAGAGAUUGCUUGGUCAAAAUUCGGCAAGACUACAAUUUGCAUGCUCACUAAUUGGUGUAUUUUCCCCCUCCCUCCCUGGAGAAUCAGGAGAGGUAAGGACACCAGCAACCUUGGACGUCAGGACAUACGCUGUGCGGAACUAACUGCCCGCUUCUGGCUGGAACCACUUUCUGUUUCUGAGCUGGGGGCACGACAGACAGAGAAUAUCUAAAUACGUACAUCUUUCGGCCCACAGAAAAUAUUUUCUAGGAAAAACUCUAGUAUUCAGAGGUGUGCAGCCAGGAGAAGGGAACAUACACAAGUACAGCUUGGUACAUUACUUUCUAUUUCGUUUGAACAAAACCCAAGGUACCAAAUCAGAAAUAUAUGAAGACAUUUUCACUUUCAUUUAUAUGAUGCCAGACAGGAGAUUAUCACCUGUAGAAAAGAGUUAUUUAAUUAUUAAGUAGUAAUCUGAAGGCAAUCAGAGAUGGUGAAUAAAAGACUAUACAAGAAUAAUGCAGCAUUAGAUUGGUAAUGUUUUCAACAGCAGACAUAGGAUGAGGCAUUAUGUAGUUGACUAUGGAUUCCCAUAGCAAUGAUAUCAGUGACUUAUGAAAAACGUGCUGACAUUGUCUGUCACUGACUUCACUCUCAAAAUUCAUAUUGUUGACCCUGCAUAUAUGUGGGUUCUGCACCCAUGGAUUCAACAAAUUAGAGAUUUCAAAAAUUUUUUGAAAGAAAAUUCCAGAAAGUUCCAAAAAGAAAAAGUUGAAUUUGCCAUACAUGUCAUCAGCUAUUUACAGGGCAUUUACAUUGUACUGGGUAUUUUAAGUAAUGUAGAGAUGAUUUAAAGUAUCCAAGAGGUUAUAUGCAAAUACUGCACCAUUCUAUAUAUGGGACUUGAGCAUCCUUGGAUUUUGGUAUCCACAGUCCUGGAACUAGUCUCCAAAGAUAUGGAGGGAUGACUAUACCUGGUAUUUCCCAUGAAUGCCUUUACUGAUAGGUGAAAGUCAGAUGCAUUAAGCAGUUGGCUUGAGGGGGUGGUCUUCAAUGCUUUCUGACCUUCACACUCAUGAUUUCUGACUUCUUCCAUUUUCCGAGAUCAUCUUGCCCAGCCUACCUACCCAGCUGUGGAUUCUCACCUUCCACCUGUCUCCUUCCUAGCCUCAAAAACUUGAUGUUCACACACUUGGGACACAUGCACUUUCUUCUGUCAGCCAGGUCUCUGAGAACCAGAAUAGCACUGAAUAACUGCUACUCACAUUCUGAGCACCUUCUGCUAUUUUUUGUCUAAAAUAGGAAAUAUUUCAAACAUACAGAAUAAAAUACACUCAAGUCUGUACCACCUAGACUGAAAAUAUCUGUUAAUAUUUUUCCAUGUGCUCCAGGUCUGUGUAUUUCAAAAAAUAAAGUGUUAGAGAUACAGUGGGCACUUUCUUGCAUUGCAUCGUUCUUCCUCCCUCUUACAAACACAACUCUAAGUUUAGUUAGAGUUUAGUUACAUGUGUCCAAUUAAAAUAUUCAGUGGCCUUGGACUCAUGUAACAUGGAUCUAGUCAAUGAGAUAAACACAGAGUCUGGGGAUACAUCCCUUCUCAAAUAAAAAAAUCAAAGCUUCAUUGGGAGACAUUCCUUGCUUCCCACAUCUUCCACCUGGAAUGUGGAUGGAAGGCCUGGAGAUACAGCAUCUACUUUGUGACCAAGAAGAACAAUCAGAACAAUAUUCUUCUGUUCAUGGAUGCUUAGGCUAUUUCCAUUGUAGGGCUACUGAGUAUAAAACUACAAAGGACAUUCUUAUACAGGCAUACCUCAUUUCAUUGUGCUUCACAAAUAUUACAUUUUUUUACAAAUUGAAGGUUUAUGGCAACCCUUUGUUGUCAGAUGAUGAUUAGCAUUUUUGGCAAUAAAGUAGUUUUAAGUUAAGGUAUGUAUUUUUUUUUUAAAGGACAUACUGCUAUUGCAGACUUAAUAGACUACCAUGCAGUGCAAACAUAACAUUUGUAUACAUUGGGGAGUCAAACAGUUAAGAGUUGUUUUACUGACCUGUUUGCUUUAUUGCAGUGCCACAAACCAACCUUAGUAUCACCAAGGUGUGCUAGCACCAAUAUUUCUAUGGACCUACUUUUCAUCUCUUGGGUAAAUACUUAUGAAUGAAAAUGCUGGGUCAUGGAGUAGGUAUAUGUUUUAAUAUUUAAAGUAACUGCUAAACAAUUUUCCAAAGUGGUUUGACAUUCCUACAUAUUAAGCUUUGAUAACUGAUGUCUUGUUUUUUAUUCUUCUUAGAUAUUCCUAGCCUUUUAGUUUUUAUAUAAAAUUUAGGACAAUUAAAAAUUCUUUUUUGAUUUUGAGUACAAUUUGGCAGGGGGGGGGGGUGCACCC